rnacentral:rRNA from 1 species
UACGGAGGGUGCAAGCGUUAUCCGGAUUCACUGGGUUUAAAGGGUGCGUAGGCGGGUAGGUAAGUCAGUGGUGAAAUCUUCGAGCUUAACUCGGAAACUGCCUUUGAUACUAUCUAUCUUGAAUAUUGUGGAGGUAAGCGGAAUAUGUCAUGUAGCGGUGAAAUGCUUAGAUAUGACAUAGAACACCUAAUUGCGAAGGCAGCUUACUACGCAUAUAUUGACGCUGAGGCACGAAAGCGUGGGGAUCAAACAGG